UAGGGAAUCUUCGGCAAUGGGGGGAACCCUGACCGAGCAACGCCGCGUGAGUGAAGAAGGUUUUCGGAUCGUAAAGCUCUGUUGUUAGGGAAGAACGAGUGUGAGAAUGGAAAGUUCAUACUGUGACGGUACUUAACCAGAAAGGGACGGCUAACUACGUGCCAGCAGCCGCGGUAAUACGUAGGUCCCGAGCGUUGUCCGGAUUUAUUGGGCGUAAAGCGAGCGCAGGCGGUUAGAUAAGUCUGAAGUUAAAGGCAGUGGCUCAACCAUUGUAGGCUUUGGAAACUGUUUAACUUGAGUGCAGAAGGGGAGAGUGGAAUUCCAUGUGUAACGGUGAAAUGCGUAGAUAUAUGGAGGAACACCGGUGGCGAAAGCGGCUCUCUGGUCUGUAACUGACGCUGAGGCUCGAAAGCGUGGGGAGCGAACAGG
rnacentral:rRNA from 1 species